rnacentral:ncRNA from 1 species
AGUGAAGGUACGCCCUUCGCCGGGCGUUUAAUAAGGAAACGGGUGAGAAUCCCGUGCGGAGCCGCCGCUGUGAUGGGAGAGCGGACGCGGAACAUGUCACUGGACAGCUGUCCGGGAAGACCUGCCGAUGCGAUGACCCCUGAGCCAGAAGACUUGCCUUCAC